GAUGAACGCUGGCGGCGUGCCUAAUACAUGCAAGUCGAGCGAACGGACGAGAAGCUUGCUUCUCUGAUGUUAGCGGCGGACGGGUGAGUAACACGUGGAUAACCUACCUAUAAGACUGGGAUAACUUCGGGAAACCGGAGCUAAUACCGGAUGAUAUUUUGAACCGCAUGGUUCAAAAGUGAAAGACGGUCUUGCUGUCACUUAUAGAUGUAUCCGCGCUGCAUUAGCUAGUUGGUAAGGUAACGGCUUACCAAGGCAACGAUGCAUAGCCGACCUGAGAGGGUGAUCGGCAACACUGGAACGGAGACACGGUCAAGACUCCUACGGGAGGCAGCAGUAGGGAAUCGUCCGCAAUGGGCGAAAGCCUGACGGAGAAACGCCGCGUGAGUGAUGAAGGUCUUCGGAUCGUAAAACUCUGUUAUUAGGGAAGAACAUAUGUGUAAGUAACUGUGCACAUCUUGACGGUACCUAAUCAGAAAGCCACGGCUAACUACGUG
rnacentral:rRNA from 1 species